AGCCCCAAGAAUAGUUUAAUAACUCUAGCACACCCCCAUGCAAAUGCCCACUGAGCUUGAAUCAUGAACAAGCACAAGCCCUUGUACUAAAAUGUUUAAUUAAGGCACCAAAUAUUUGAAUCCUGAACCUUUUGGUUUGAGAGGCUCUAAUACCAUGUUAAGAAACUACUCAAUCUAAAAGCUCAAGCUUGUAGAUGAGGGUUGCAAAAAUAUUUUCAUAUCUCUAAUAGAUUUUACCCGGAUUAU
rnacentral:misc_RNA from 1 species